rnacentral:tRNA from 1 species
UUAGAAAAACACGAAACUACCAGGAGUGGGGUUCGAACCCACGCGGACACAUGUCCAUUGGAUCUUAAGUCCAACGCCUUAACCACUCGGCCAUCCUGGUGCAGGCGAGCAACCACCCCUUCGCUCUUCCUACAAGCCGUCUCCGCCGCCCUCUCGCAGCCUCCGCUCGAACGCCGAGGAGCCGCCGCCGCCGCCCUCCCCGCCAGCCCAGCCGGGGCCCCGGGGCGGCCUCCGCUUCCCGCCACCGCGCUUCGCUGUGGCCCCCGGCCCGCCGCGGCUGCCGGAGCGACUGCAGCCGACCCCGCGCGCUCCCGGCGGAGGCGGCGGCGACGCGCGGCGGGCCGUUGGCUCCUGCUUUCGGUUUCGAGGGGCGCGGCGCGGGCACCACACACGCCGGGGAGCUCGUGGGUUCCCGGGCGCCGGCUCUGGAGGCUGCGGGCCGGGGGCGCGGGCUCGGCACCCAGAGGGCGGCGUUCCGCUCGUUUGUACUACGCAGACCGAAGCUUGGAGGACCGAGCCCCGGGACCCCCGCGGCUAGGGGCCGCGUUUCGGGACGGGGGGGUGUCACACGGGGAGGAAGCCUUGCCGAGGGCGGUGCGUGCGCUCGCCUCGCUGGGGGCCGCGGAGCGUGGCUCGGCACCGCAGCGGGCCCCUCUGGGUUCCCGCGACCCCGGCCUGCACCUGGCCGCGUGCGUCCCCGAGUCUCUCUUGCUGUCACCAGGGGUGCACCCCUCUUCCCGCAGCACUGGCUCUCCCCGUCCCACCUCCGGGGACGCCGACUCCAACCACAGAGCCGAGGCCGCGGCAUUCCGGGGAGCCCGCAGCCCUGCGCCCGGGUUCACACAGCGCCGGCGGCUGCCAGCUUUGGCGGAGAGCUUUACCAGCCCGGGGACCGCACGUGCUAACGUCCCUGCGUCACCCCUCGCCGAUGACUGUGCGCCCAGAGACCCCUGGCCCGGCCACCUAGAACUUCUGCAACCCCGGGAAGCCCGCCUGUUGCUCUGCAACUCCAGUCGGGUCCAGAGAGCGCCUCCCCGUGGCGAGUGGUGGAAUUGCCUCCUCCCAGCCCUGCCAGCCGCCAGGGGCAAUGCUCGGGUGGGUCCCAGCCUGGGUAGGACCCUGUCUUGGCAGGUGCAACCCGACGCUGUCCUGCAGCACACAGACAGAAACACAGGAGAGGGGGAACGUGCACACGGCUGGGAUGCGAAGCAGCUCCACAGAAUCGUCAUCCGCGCUCUCCCUUUGAUUGCAUCAAGUUGUCAGAAUCCUCGGACUUCACAAAAUUGGCACUGA